rnacentral:rRNA from 1 species
AGAGUUUGAUCCUGGCUCAGGAUGAACGCUAGCGGCAGGCAUAAUACAUGCAAGACGAACGGUAAGCUUUGUAGCAAUACAGAGCCUAGAGUGUCGUACGGGUGCGUAACACGUAUGCAACCUACCUUUUACAGGAGUAUAGCUCCCCGAAAGGGGAAUUAACCCUCCAUAACAUGACGACUGGGCAUCCAGUUGUCAUUAAAACUGCAGUGGUAAAAGAUGGGCAUGCGUUUGAUUAGUUAGUUGGCAGUGUAACGGACUACCAAGACGAUGAUCAAUAGGGGACCUGAGAGGGUGAUCCCCCACACUGGGACUGAGACACGGCCCAGACUCCUACGGGAGGCAGCAGUGGGGAAUAUUGGACAAUGGGCGAAAGCCUGAUCCAGCAACGCCGCGUGAGGGAUGACGGCCUUCGGGUUGUAAACCUCUUUCAGUACCGACGAAGCGCAAGUGACGGUAGGUACAGAAGAAGCACCGGCCAACUACGUGCCAGCAGCCGCGGUAAUAC